CCUGAUCCCCUGACCCUGGGAUCACCACCUGAGCCGAAAACGAGUUGGACACGAAAGCGAUGGAGCCACCCGGGUGCCCCUAAGAUGAAACUCGUGCAAGUACGUCUUACCCGGCGUCUGGGGCACUCAGGAGAGGGUGGUGCUUCCAACCAGGCGGAAUCUCGAAGCCUCACUGAAAGGGCCCGGGGCAGACGCAAGCGCGCCUGUCUUCUGCACCCACCAGAGGGCAGCAGGGAGCCGCGCCAGACCUAGGACACCACUCGGGUGGCCGUGCACCUUCCAGGAGACCCCUUUCCACGUGAGGGGCGGGUCUGCCACUGACCCACCGGGAACCCCUUCUCCCUCAGGUGUCUGUUCCUGUCAAAGAUGAGGACCCGGACCCAGAGCCCAGCCUUGACUGGUGAGGACGACACGGGAGCCAUGGGUACAUUGGCCGCAGGACCCUGCUAAAGACGCCCGGCGUGGACGUGUCGGAGCCGCGCUGUUACCGCGACGCGAACCCGGCCUCACCCCCGCACGCGCUCGGCCGCCUGGUAGCCAAGGAGGGGACGCGACCACACGGCACGGCCGCCACAGCUGUCCCUCCAGCCCGCCCUAGGGAGGUGGGGUGCGGAAGCGGAUCUUCUUGGCCGUCUCCACGUCAGAUUUGGCAACCAGAAAGCGCAUCUUCUUUCCUCCGUGUCGGAUCAGGUCCACAGCCCUGAAAGCCGGCCAGGGGAGACGCGUGGUGUGGCCGACUCGCCACGGGUCUAGCCGCGGGGCCCGGUACCCUGACGUCUGAAGACAGAGGGUACAUGGCCGGCCAGGGAACCGGCUGCCGCACGGGCCCUUCUCUCAAGGGCCACCGAGCUGCCCCACUGAGCCCGGUCCCGAGCUCGUGGCCGGCCCUGCCCUGCCCUGUCCCGCCCACCCGUGGUCUCCCAGUGACCGUGCAAGCCGUGGGCCUGCGUGGGGCGGUCCUGAGCAGGAGGAGCCCAGGGGGCCGCUCACCAUCCCGUCGAUCAGGCCCAUCCCCAGGCCAGAGGGACCCCGCUCCAGCUCUACCACGAACACGUAGCAGAAGUCCUCGGCGCUGGAGCUGCGGCUGGAGAGGGCUGGCGGGGGCUCAUCUGCCGGAGCCACGCCGUCUCCUGGGCAGGUCAGAUCAGGCCUUCAGGCAGAGCAUGUGGCUGCAGUCCCCUCACCAGCAAGCAGGUGCCCUGCCUCAGGCCCGGAUCUGCCCAGGUGACCCCUGGCCUUGGGGCACACCCAGAGUCUGCAGGGGCACUGCCGGGGGCGGCACUGCCGGGGGCGGCACUGCCGGGGGCUGCUCUGCCCUGCACUUCAUGGCCCCCCCGGCCCUCCCCCCAGCCUCCUACCUGGUGCACACCACCUGAGCCGUCCCUUCCUCCACCCUGGGGGGAGGGACUUCGUCCCACAGACGGCUGUGCGUGCACCCUGUGCCCUUCGACGGGGCCCUGAACCACCCUGCGCCCGCCUCACGUGGCCCCUGGAGCCUGCCCAGCACGGGCUACGGGUGUUCGUGGACAGGUACCAGAAGCCCAGGCCCAACGUGCCCCUAGGGCCACACGGUUGCAGUGACCCAAAGGGGCCCCGCCCAGGUGCUGGGGGGGGCGGAGGAGGGGGGACUGGGGGCUGUUUCGAGCCUGGGGACAGGUCUUACCUUCCCCAGCUGCACCUCGGGGGCCACUCUGCCCGCUCGGCCUCCCUUCCGGGAGCGCUUUCCCACAGGUGCCGCCGGGCUCUGGCCAGUCGGGGACAGCGGGCUCGAGGCCGAGCGGGGGUGCCGGGAGGCGUGAGCAGGCACGAGGAGUCCACGUGCAGGACGCCAGCCUGGGGGCCCCCGCGGCUCUGCCUUCCUGGAGGGCCCUGUGCGCGGGGAGCCCCCGCAGGAGGAGGAGGGCGCACCUGGCCGGCUUCACGAGCUCCCCUGGAAACCAGCGGGCAGCUGUGGCCCCCCGGGGGCCCUUCGGGGGUGUGCUGUGGGCCCUGGGGGUGGGGGUACAGGGACGAAGGCCUCAGAUUCCCAGCAGCCCGCCACAGUAGGAGACCCCAGGGGCCACCCCCGCCUCUGGGGACCCCCAGGCGCCGCAGAGGCAGCAGCCAGGCCCCGUGUUGGCUGCCCUCACCAGCCCCGUUGUCAAAGCCAGAGCAGCCCGGGUACCUCAAGGCACCCCGGCUGGGAAGGCCCGGCACCAGGGCUGGGUUUGCUCCGCAGGCUCCACAGGAAGUGGCGCAGGUACAGAAGCUGCUGGUAGACGCCGGCGUCCGGGCAGUCCGCUUCCAGAUUCACCUGGAAGCCCUCGCUCGGCAAAACGAUGGGCGGGGGGUUCUCGUAGGACUCCAGGACGUCCUCUGCCGACGGCGGGGAGGACGGUGUGACCGCGCUGGCCAAGAAGAAACGCCCGGCCCCUCCCCGGGCCCACCAGCCACCCCCCCUCCUGACACUGCAGGUACCGGGGACACGCGAGCGUGGGACUCGGGAGAAGGCAACCCGCCCCAACCACACUCUGGGCCCUUCUGCGUCCCAGUGAUUACCCAGGAAGAGGCCCGAGCUGCCUCACCCCCACUGCCCCGCCCCCAACUCCCCCUGCCUCUGUACCCCCCCCCCUGUCCUUCUGGUGCUCCCAAGGCCCGUGGUGACUGCAUCCCGCACGGUCCCCAGGACCCUGAGUCCCAGAACAUGGGCAUGCUCAGACGGCGGGAAGGCCAACACCUGCACCAGCUCUGAGCAGAGAGCCCACCCGGGGACAGGCCCCCAGGGGUAGUGAGGAGGGGCGCUAGGGGCCAGCGGGGCCCAGAGUCCUGCUCCAAGUGGUCCCUUCCACCGGCCAUGCCCUGGGCGACGGGGCACGGGAGAACCGAGCCCGAGGCCCUGUUUCUAGCCGUAUCUUCUAUCUUCUGUUAAUUGUCAUUACGUGCAUCAUGCUAACGACGAGACGUGCAUCUGUUCGUGAGUAACAUUACGUGCACGUACACGUACGCUGCGUGUGAACAGACAUGGGUGCGGGGCCUGCCCACCAUCUUGGCACUCCACGCCGAGACCCUGUUCUCCUCCUGGUGGGCUGUGUGUGCCAAGCAAGGCCCUGCCAUCAGUCCCCACGUUGGACGCUCCAGCAGCUUCCUGACCAAGGUUUCCCGAGGACCACUGCGGACCCCGCAGUCGGCGGGCCGGCCCACGCCGUCGCCCUCCACGGCGGGUAUCCCCGGCUUCUGGCGUUGCUCUUGAAAGUCGGAAACCACGCUGAGGGCUAGUCUUCGGGACGCAUCCACUCUUUAUUCUUGUGGGAAUUUCACGGGCUCCUCUGGCCCACGGUCUCCACACGGCAGCCCUGGGCUUCUCUGUGCAAGUGCAGCCACGGAACUGCUCAGCCAUCGGCCACGCUUGCCAGCACCUCGGGGCAGGUCCUAGAAUCCAGACUUCCUUCCCAGGGCUGUUCCUUGUCUGGGGCUGGUGUCAGGAGGGAGCCAGCCAUCAGGCCCAGAAGCCACCGGCAGGGACCCAGCACCCUCCCCUGUCCUUCAUACCAUCUGUCUGCUGUCUGGGAGUUUCCCGGACGGUCUUCCAGUCUUGCCACUGGACCCUUUCUCUUUACUCUCAGGGUUCGAAUUUCCAAAAAUCCUUUUGGUUCUCUUAUUUUUAGGAGAAUAUACAUUUUUAAGUUUUUUCUCCCGGAAAAGUUUUGCACGCUCAGAGUGGUGUUCACAUUUUUUAAAGGGCUUAACACAACGAAGAAUAAUUCUGGACGGCAACUGUACGUGCCCCACAAAGGCUACAUUAUCUACCCCCUGGCCCUUUACAGGGAAGUCUGUCCCCCCAGGAUCUGCGUCCUCCAACAUCCGGCUCUCGUGCGGGAAGCGAGCGGGUGCUCAGUCUGCCAGGCUGGCUCGUGGUGGGACAGAGGGCCACGUCCUCCGGCCUCUGCCUGGGUGUCACUGACGCCAGCGUUGUCCGGUCAGCCCCCUCUGACAAAGAGCACGGGGCCUCCCGCACGCAGCAGGCUCUCUGUCCUCCCUCAGAAGCCCUCCUUUUCAGGAUGACACUUCUGGUGUCAGGAUGACACCCUGUCUUAAAUGUUCCAGCAGUAAGCACAGGUGUUCGGCCAGCGCAGGGGGAGGGCCGGCCCGGCCGUGCGGGAAGGGGCCGCUGAGAUCCGAAGCGCACACAGAAACCGCACAGACGUGAAGCACGACAGCCUGUGUUCCCAGCGCAGGGCAAGAGCGGGGAGCGUGUGGCCGCGCGAGGAGGCCCCUGCCGGGCAGGCCUGUCCCCCGCCGCGGCCCCGCUCGGCCCGCUCUUGCGUUCCAGACCCCGGGAAUCACCACCUGUGCCCCUCUGGGCCCGACUGUGGCUCAGCCUCGUAUUUAACGUUGGCCUGGGCCUUCACGCUGCUGUGUGGAAUUGCGCUGCAAGGAAUUUUCUCGAUUUUUUCAAGAUUUCAAGUAUUUACUAUACGCGGGCCGAAGGCUCGAACUCACAACCCCAGGAUCAAGAGCCGCACGCUCCACGGACCUUCAGUCGCCGCCGGCCCUGUUCUCGAGGCUCCGCGUCUUCCGUGGGCAGUCACCCCCCGGCCUCCGCUUACCGGCCCCCGCGGUGUUUCUCCUCCCCGGGCCUGCUCGGUCCCUGUGGGCUUACGCUUUGCUUUUGUGGGGUGGUAUUUGGGGAGGAGGCCAAAAGCACAGGUUCAGGUUGCAAUCUGUAUGCAGAGGUCCCCGUUUUCUGCAUUGUCUCUAGUGAGUUCCUGCUGCACUUUUAGAAUUAAAAGAACAAAAUCAAGUAACUCAAAA